UUUGAACUUUUUCAGAACGAAACGACCCAACUCUACAACAGACGACAACAAAACCUGCAAUUAACAACAAAUAGGAUCCCGGUUCCGGACUCCGGCGUAUCCGCCUUGCCUAAGAUGACACCACUCCGUCAUCUUCCUCAUGUUGACCACCGUCAGUGGACCCUUCUUAAACUUGUGGUGGCCAUUAAAUCAUCUCCCUCCCCCCUUCAUCAAUAAUUCAACCGGACAUCUUCAUCUUCAGGCUCCUAAAUUACUAACGUACUCAAAUAUUUUGAACAAAUUUUUCGUACCGCGAAGUGAAAUCAACUAAAAACAACUUAAGCUGCAAGUGUUAACUUUAAGCUUUAUAAGUUUAAGCAGGAAACAAAAUAGUUGCAUCCUAACAGACUUACAUCUUUGUCAAGUGUGGAAAGAGACCAGAAUGUUUUUUCCUGAAAUAAGAACCGCUUUUAAGAUUGAUAUGUCACAACCAUGUACUGUUGAACGAUCGUUCAGCACUUAAUGUGCUGUAAAGAAUUGGUUAAUGGAUUUUUAUGUAUGGGCAAUUUCACAGAAAUGUCAACCGCAGCUAAAAACUUAAAAUUGAUCAAAAACUCAAAUCUUGCUAAAUUUUCUUCCAGGGACAUUUUCAGAAAAGUACUUACUUAAAUGUAAAUAUUCAGUAAAGUUUCAAGUAGGCGGAAAGUUUUCUAUGUAAUAGUUUUAAAAUUUUUCUUCUCUUUAAGGCACCGAAACUUGCACUCCAUAUUCAACCUACCAGAGCUUUUUCUGAAUCUUUGAAUAAAUUCAGUUUUUCUAUAAUACUGCCUCUUUUCUUAGAAAUUGAUUUCCAAAAUCGAGUGUAUGUAUAAUAAAUAUUAUUUGACGAAAUCUCUCUACCAACAUUAAAUAGAGAAGUAAAAUGCAAAGAAAACACUCCAAUUCCGAUCAUUCUGAUGUACUAAUGUGUUGCCUUUAAAAAAAAAAAAAUGCUUUGACAUAUGUUUUUUUUACUUUGAAACCGUUUGAAUGUUAAAUUCGACAUUAAAAAAUUACCCAAAUAUUUAUAUCGUGUAUUAUAUUCUUAACCAGGCAUAUGUCUGCUGAGUGUACAUCGCAACGUAAAUGUUCACAUGCAGAAUAUAUUCGCACUGAAUUAGAGACGCCUGGUUAAGAGAUAAGCAGUUUAAAACUUAAAUUUGUGAAUUUCCGCUAUUGUUAUUUUUUAACAAAAAAUUUUAUGUUUGAUUUACUGGACUAAAAAAAUUUUUUGCCCCACCCUUGAGAAAAGUCUGGCUACGUCCAUGGUGUCAACGUAAAUAUGUUUUGAGUAUGUAAUUAUGUGAAUGUAGUGUAUAUAAUAAUCACUUAAUUCUAUCUUAA